rnacentral:rRNA from 1 species
CACUUACACGGCCCCGGCCUUCGAGACUAGGUGUGAUAAGCCAAGGCUCCCACACCUAGGGACCGGCCGAAUUUAAAUGGGCGGCUUAGACUAUGUGGCAGCCCCCCCCGUCGGGGCAGAUGAAACCCCACUCCCCCAUGUCAAAGGGGCUAACCCCCCCCCCUUGGGGGGGGGGACAGUGUAAGAGGACAGUUUGGUUGGGGCGACCGCC